CUAUGCGCCUUGCCAGCCCGCUCAGGUGUGCCAGCCGCGCGGUAAUACGUAGGGAGCAAGCGUUGUCCGGAAUUACUGGGCGUAAAGGGCGCGUAGGUGGGCGCUUAAGUCAGGUGUGAAAACUCCGGGCUCAACCUGGAGACUGCACUUGAAACUGGGUGUCUUGAGGGCAGGAGAGGAAAGUGGAAUUCCUAGUGUAGCGGUGAAAUGCGUAGAUAUUAGGAGGAACACCAGUGGCGAAGGCGACUUUCUGGACUGUACCUGACGCUGAGCGCGAAAGCGUGGUAGCGAACGGG
rnacentral:rRNA from 1 species